AGUGAACGCUGGCGGUAGGCCUAACACAUGCAAGUCGAACGGCAGCACAGGAGAGCUUGCUCUCUGGGUGGCGAGUGGCGGACGGGUGAGGAAUACAUCGGAAUCUACUCUGUCGUGGGGGAUAACGUAGGGAAACUUACGCUAAUACCGCAUACGACCUACGGGUGAAAGCAGGGGAUCUUCGGACCUUGCGCGAUUGAAUGAGCCGAUGUCGGAUUAGCUAGUUGGCGGGGUAAAGGCCCACCAAGGCGACGAUCCGUAGCUGGUCUGAGAGGAUGAUCAGCCACACUGGAACGGAGACUCGAUCCAGACUCCUACGGGAGGCAGCAGUGGGGAAUAUUGCACAAUGGGCGCAAGCCUACUCCAGCCAUACCGCGUGGGUGAAGAAGGCCUUCGGGUUGUAACGCCCUUUUGUUUGGAAAGAAAUCCAGCUGGCUAGUACCCGGUUGGGAUGACGGUACCCAAAGAAUAAGCACCGGCUAACUUCGUGCCAGCCGCCGCUGUAA
rnacentral:rRNA from 1 species